rnacentral:rRNA from 1 species
UACGUAGGGUGCGAGCGUUAAUCGGAAUUACUGGGCGUAAAGCGUGUGUAGGCGGUUUUGUAAGUCAGAUGUGAAAUCCCCGGGCUUAACCUGGGAAUGGCAUUUGGGACUGCAAGGCUUGAGUGCGGCAGAGGAGACUAGAAUUCCUGGUGUAGCAGUGAAAUGCGUAGAUAUCAGGAGGAAUACCGAUGGCGAAGGCAGGUCUCUGGGCUGACACUGACGCUCAUGCACGAAAGCGUGGGGAGCAAACAGG